rnacentral:rRNA from 1 species
GAAUAUUGCACAAUGGGCGAAAGCCUGAUCCAGCAAUGCCGCGUGCAGGAUGAAGGCCUUCUGGUUGUAAACUGCUUUUGUACGGAACGAAAAGCUUUGGGUUAAUACCCUGGAGUCAUGACGGUACCGUACGAAUACGCACCGGCUAACUACGUGCCCGCCACCGCGGCAAUACGUAGGGUGCGAGCGUUAAUCGGAAUUGCGGGGCGUAAAGCGGGCGCAGGCGGUUUUGUAAGACAGAGGUGAAAUCCCCGGGCUCAACCUGGGAACUGCCUUUGUGACUGCAAGGCUAGAGUACGGCAGAGGGGGGUGGAAUUCCGCGUGUAGCAGUGAAAUGCGUAGAUAUGCGGUGGAACACCGAUGGCGAAGGCAACCCCCUGGGCCUGUACUGACGCUCAUGCACGAAAGCGUGGGGAGCAAAC